UACGAAGGGUGCAAACGUUGCUCGGAAUCAUUGGGCGUAAAGCGCACGUAGGCGGCCUCAAAAGUCGGAUGUGAAAUCCCGUGGCUCAACCAUGGACGUGCAUUCGAAACUGCGAGGCUUGAGUAUGGAAGAGGGUCGCGGAAUUCCCGGUGUAGAGGUGAAAUUCGUAGAUAUCGGGAGGAACACCGGUGGCGAAGGCGGGUCUCUGGGCCGAUACUGACGCUGAGGAGCGAAAGCGUGGGGAGCGAACAGG
rnacentral:rRNA from 1 species